rnacentral:rRNA from 1 species
CAGCAGCCGCGGUAAUACGUAGGUGGCAAGCGUUAUCCGGAAUUAUUGGGCGUAAAGCGCGCGCAGGUGGUUUCUUAAGUCUGAUGUGAAAGCCCACGGCUCAACCGUGGAGGGUCAUUGGAACUGGGAGACUUGAGUGCAGAAGAGGAAAGUGGAAUUCCAUGUGUAGCGGUGAAAUGCGUAGAGAUAUGGAGGAACACCAGUGGCGAAGGCGACUUUCUGGUCUGUAACUGACACUGAGGCGCGAAAGCGUGGGGAGCAAACAGGAUUAGAUACCCUGGUAGUCCACGCCGUAAACGAUGAGUGCUAAGUGUUAGAGGGUUUCCGCCCUUUAGUGCUGAAGUUAACGCAUUAAGCACUCCGCCUGGGGAGUACGGCCGCAAGGCUGAAACUCAAAGGAAUUGACGGG